CUUGUUCAGGCUCCUUUCUGGCCCAUCAGUCUCUGUCAACCCAUGAAGGCUGAAACUCUUAUCUCUGUGAAAGCCAGAGAGCAGAAGUCAACUAUCUGUUCUCACUCUGCAAAUGUAGACAAAGAUGUGUCCUGCCCUGAAGAUCUGGUGGGCUAAUUCAUAGCUCCAACAUGAAUGGUACAUAUGUUCAAGAUAAAAUUGUCAAGCUUGAUGUUGUGAGUCAUCUCAACCAACGCCUACAAGUGGAUUCUGGCUGCCAGAGGAAUUACUUCGCACUGUGACAAAGGAACAACAAAACUCUGAUCUCCCCUACUGUUAGCAGCAAAAUUGCCCUCAUUUUUGGAGCAUGAGCAGUACAGACAAUGACGCAAAGGUAAGAACUCUGAGAAGAACAACCUGCCUGCUCUAAGUGAAGAUCAG
ensembl:lncRNA